rnacentral:tRNA from 1 species
GCCGGGGUGGCGGAAUUGGUAUACGCGACGGACUUAAAAUCCGUUGGGAGCAAUCCCUUAAGGGUUCAAGUCCCUUCUCCGGCACCA